rnacentral:lncRNA from 1 species
CAGGAAGAUACUGCUGACAAGAAUGAUGAGCAGCCUUUAGACCAACAUGGGUGUCAGCAGUGUCUUGAAUCAGACCUACCGUCUUCUCUAAGCUCUGUGAUGGGGUUUCCUCUCUAAUUUGUGUGGGAGAGAAGAGGCAUUUUCUUCCGUUCGGACUCAUUACAUUCUGUUAACCCAGAACUUGUUUUGUGCAAAAGCUGCAGAACUGCGAAGAGGAGCAGAAAGCACGUGAUAUGUUUAAAUAUGCCGGAGCAAUAUGCUGACCAGUGAGGUUUGUUUAUUAAAAUCUUUAUGUGGGGUGAAGCUCGAUUGAGCCUGUGUCAGCUGGUUUAUGGAGAGGCCCUGUUUUCAAGAGCAGGCUGCUGUUUGUCUUCUUUACUGAGCUGACAGAGGACAUUCUGGAGAAUACAUUAUGCCGAAAACAUCUGUAUUAUGGAAAAUC